GGAAAGCUGUGGUGUUCGAGUUGUUCAUCUGUGUGUUGACCGAACAUUUUUACUUUUACAUUGGGACCGUGCUUGUAUUGCUAUGGUGGAUAUGCCUUUUCUUUUGGUAAUCCUUUGUAUCUGCAAUCGCUGGACCCACCUGCUUAGGUAGCGGGUUCAAACCUUCGAACAUUCACCGGCACGUAACGGCAAGUAC
rnacentral:other from 1 species